GUGUAUGUGUGUGUGUGUGUGUAUGUAUCUAUCUAUCUAUAUAUAUAUAUAUAUAGAUAGAUAGAUACAUACACACACACACACAC
rnacentral:miRNA from 1 species